rnacentral:misc_RNA from 1 species
AUUCCGAAGGGCAUACCUGUUCGAGCGUCAUUACACCUCUCAAGUUAAGCUUGAUGUUGGGUGAUGCCUAGAGGCACGCCUAAAAAUUAGCGAUGAUUAGUCAAACCACAGGCGCACAGAUGUCGUUAUGUUGGGGAGAUAUGAUCAGUAAAUUUCUCAAUGUUGACCUCGGAUCAGGUAGGAAUACCCGCUGAACUUAA